GGCCAGCCACCAGGAGGGCUG
rnacentral:miRNA from 1 species